rnacentral:lncRNA from 13 species
CUCUCACAUUUAGCAGAUCAACCUUGGGCAGAAAAUGUAAAAAUAAAUAAAUAAUACAAUAAUAAUUUAAAAAAAGUAGUCAAAUGAUUUUUGGAAGUCUAGAGAUUGGAGACAUAACACCACAGAACAUUGAGUGGACUGUACACUGACGUCUUGUGAUAUGAUUACAUGUGUUCCUGUGUUGUUUUGUGUUUAAGCUUGUGUCUUUCAUUAGGAUAUUCCCAACCUGGUCUCUGUACAUUUCGUAUUAUUCUGUACGUAAAUUUGAUACACUCCUUGUUGUAUGUUACUUUUCGUGUGGUAUGUAUUAAUUUGUGGAUAUUCAUCACCCAUUUCGUGCGAUAUGUUAAAAAUCACAUUUUGUAUUAUUUGUUACGAAUUUGCAAAACCUACAAUAUGAUAAGGAUUUGCAAAAUGUAUGAUAUGUUACGAAUUCUAGCUAGGUGGCUAACAUUAGGUAGCUCGCUAACGUCAGCUACGCUAGGGGUUAGGGUUAAGUUUAGGAGUUAGGUUAAGGGAAGAGUUAGCUAAAAGGGUUAAGGUUAUGGGAAGGGUUAGCUAACUUAGUUGGAAAGUUGCUAAUUAGAUAAAAUGCUAAAGAUGUCCAUGAUGAGAUUCUAAAUCGCAACCUUUGAUUUGCUAGAUGUUCUUGUUAUGCACCGACCCAUCCAAUCCCCCCUUUUCAUUUUUGACCUGACUAACCAUCUGUCUUAUGUAGCCAUACCAAACAUAACAUACUAAAUGGAGUGUCUUGGAUUUUACGUACAGAAUAAUACGAAAUGCAACUGAGACCAGGUUGCAUUCCCUUGUGUCUGCAUAAAGCUAUAUAGCCAUUGUUCAUAUGUGUUUCAUAUGUGUGCUAGGGAAGGUUGGAUCACUGUUGACCACGGUCUACAAUGACUGGUCACACUCACACCUAAGAACUGCUCUCUCUCCCUUCAUACAGCUGUCACCUAGAAACAAGGUCUCCUUUUGCUCAAAGAUUAUUGUCCCUCUCUGCAUCCCCAAAAAACUGUCUCCCUCCCUGUCCUGACCAGUACCCAAUGGACCAUUCUUCUCUUGAGAAUUCCAUGGGGAUCUUACCCAUUGCUCAUUCAGUUUAUCUACAAUACUGACAUCAUUGGCUUGGCUUCAGAAGGAGCCAAUCAGAGCGAUUGAUUCACCCAGAGGGUUGUCUUCCUGUCUGAGGUCCAAUGAUUCUCUCUCCCUCUCUCCCAACCUCCCUGCUGUUAUGCCAAUCCAAUGAUAAGUUGAUGAGGGGGAAGAUAUCCAGAAACAGCUGCUCCCUGGUAGUCAAUACAUCAAUGUGGAUUUCACAAAACAUAUUUUAUAAAGUAAUAGCCAUAACUAUCUGAUAUUAUAAUACCUGUAAAUGGAAAACAAAGUCUAUAUUCAAUCGAAACAUCAGUGUUGAUAGAUAGAAAGCCUGAGAACUCAAUAAUAUUAGUUGUAUCUAUUACUUUUAAAGACCUGAAUUCUUCCUAUAAAAAUGAUAAUUUUUCUGUACAGUACUAGAGUAUGAACAAAGGCAUAUGACUGGCCACCUCAUGAAUAAAACAUACUUAAACAACAGUGACGGCAAGAAAUCCUGGUCUUGCUUCUUGAUUUUGGUUUAGAAAAAAAUAGAAUAAUUCUUAACAUUAAUAAAAAAUAAAAAUAUAAAAUACUUUGUAUUUGUUAAUGGCUAUUGGAAAUAAAUAAAUAAAUAAAAUCUUAAAUCUUUCCAUAAUUGUUCAGAUUUUUUUUUGUUGUUUGUGAAUUGUAAAAUGCCCUCAUGGUUCAUUUGGAUUCGUCUCUCUCCAAAGCAGAAUCGAUUUAGAGUUCUAUUGCCGUGGGGGAAUGGUUAGGAUGACUGACAACACAUCGCCAGCCACACCAAUAUGUAAGGAAUAAUCAACGAGGGGCUAUGCUCUCUAUGGGAAAUAAUGAAAGACGUGAAAAGGUAUGUUCUGGAGUGAAAUUGACCUUUCCAGAGAACGCAUGGAGCCCCAAGUUCAUCAUCCCUUUCAUAUCCCUUAUCCCUUUUAUACCAUUUAAAUGUAGCUGAAGUAGCACCUUGUUUAACAUCCAUUGAAGUAGCCAGCAAGUUUACUAGAGAGCCACAGUAGUUGCCGUGGUAACCAAGCAGACAGACUUAGCUAGUUUAGCUAACCAAACAAAUCAGUCCUAGCUCGCCAUUAUGAAAACUGAAUUCAACAAUGCCAAUAACGUUUUAAAUUCGACGUUUGCUUUCAAAAGCAGCUUAAACAGAGAACAAGUAAGAAUGAACUAUAGCCAUUGAAUUCUUACAGUGUAAAUAUACCGUGCGUUAUAGGGAAAUCAUGCACGGUCUAGAAUGCCCUUCAAGCCAAUCAGAAACAAGUAUUCAACAGUACUGUGUUAUAAUUAACUUCUUAUGGCUGCAGGGGCAGUAUUGAGUAGCUUGGAUGAAAGGUGCCCAGAGUAAACGGCCUGCUCCUCAGUCCCAGUUGCUAGUAUAUGCAUAUUAUUAUUAGUAUUAGUUAUUGAAGAUUUAUGAUAAAAACAUCUUAAAGAUUGAUUCUAUACUUAGUUUGAAAUGUUUCUACGACCUGAAAUAUAAGUUUUUCAAGUUUUUGUCCUACGUUAUGCUGGACCUGCACAAGCGUUUGGAUUUGUGUACUAAACGCCAUAACAAAAGUAGCUACUUGGACAGAAAUCAUGGACAUUAUCGAACAAAUCAAACAUUUAUUGUGGAACUAGGAUUCCUGGGAGUGCAUUCUGAUGAAGAUCAUCAAAGGUAAGGGAAUAUUUAUAAUGUUAUUUCUGGUUUCUCAUGAUUCCAACAUGGCGGAUAUUUUUUUUUUCUUCUAGGGGCCGUUCUCAGAUUAAUUGCAUGGUUUGCUUUUUCCGUAAAGUUGUUUUGAAAUCUGACACAGCGGUUGCAUUAAGGAGAGGUAUAUCUAUAUUUCCAUGUCUAACAAUUGUAUUUUCAUUAGUAUUUCUGUAAAUUGAUGUGGCUCUCUGCAAAAUCACCGGAUGUUUUUGGAACUACUGAAUAUAACGCGCCAAUGUAAACUGAGAUUUUUUUUAUAUAAAUAUGAACUUUAUCAAACAAAACAUACAUGUAUUGUGUAACAUGAAGUCCUAUGAGUGUCAUAUGAUGAAGAACAUCAAAGGUUAGUGAUUAAUUUGAUCUCUAUUUGUGCUUUUUGUGACUCUUCUCUUUGACUGGAAAAAUGGCUGUGUUUUUCUGUGAGUUGGUGGUGCUUUCGCUGUAAAGCCUAUUUGAAAUCGGACACUGUGGUGGAAUUAACAACAAGAUUACCUUUAAAACGGUAUAAGAUACCUGUAUGUUUGAGGAAUUUGAAUUAUGAGAUUUCUGUUGUUUUGAAUUUGGCACUUUCACUGGCUGUUGUCAUAUCGAUCCCGUUAACGGGAUUGCAGCCAUAAGAAGUUUUAAGCGAUAAGGCCCGAAGGGGUGUGGUAUAUGACCAAUAUACCACGGCUACGGGUUGUUCUUAUGCACAACGCAAAGUGGAGUGCCUGAAUAAAGCCCUUAUUAGCCGUGGUAUAUUGGCCACAUACCACAAACCCCCGAGGUGCCUUAUUGCUAUUAUAAACUGGUUACCAACGUAAUUAGAGCAGUAAAAAUAAAUGUUGUGUCAUACCACAAGGGGAACGUCAAACCCGUGGUGACCUCACAACGGCAGUCAAGCACCCAAGGUAACUGGCUAAAGUUGGCUAGCUUGCUAGCUACUUCAAGACACAAAUGAGAGAACAGCUCACUCUGACCAUUUUACUCGCCCUAGCAAAGCUGGUGAGGCUGUUUUUUUUGUUAUCCAGAGCGUUGGUGACUGUAACUAAAGUUGGCUAGCUUGCUAGCUACUUCAAGACACAAAUGAGAGAACAGCUCACUCUGACCAUUUUACUCCCCCUGACUGUAACUGUGCUGCUGGCAAUAAUUUAAUGACGCUUUUUUUGCCGACGUUUACCGGCAACGACCAUAUUCACCACGUGUUGAGCGUUGGUAAAUACAUCAGUGAUUUGGCGCUCUGGUCCACUCAGACUAUAAUUUAUGAACUCACCCUAAACUGAAAAAGCUCCUCCUCCUCUUCCUCCUUCUCAUCCUCCUAUCUGUAGGUCUACCAUUCAGAUCUAUGUGGAUUUCUCAAACUCAGUGCUAGUUUUAAUAUUAUAAACUCAGCCAAGUGCCAUGCUAAAGCAAUAUAUAUAUAUAUAUAUAUAUAUAUAUAUAUAUAUAUAUAUAUAUAUUUCAGCAGAAAAUUGGAAUAAACAGCAACAUAAAAACAGAUAUUUUCAUUCAGUGAAAAAAAGAAAGCAGGGAAAGUACAAGUUUGUGUUUUAAAGUUUGAAUGAAAUCGUUCAGGGUUAAAACGUAACCCUGUACAGUCCAAGACACAAGAGCAAUACAACAAAUAGAUGUUUUGAAUGAUCAGAUGAUCGGGAUGAUAAUAAUAAUAAACUAGAAAUACUACAGACCCACCGGUUCUGAUGAUACUACAGACCCACUGGUUCUGAUGAUACUACAGACCCACUGGUUCUGAUGGUACUACAGACCCACUGGUUAUGAUGGUACUACAGACCCACCGGUUCUGAUGGUACUACAGACCCACCGGUUCUGAUGGUACUACAGACCCACCGGUUCUGAUGGUGCUACAGACCUACCGGUUCUGAUGAUACUACAGACCUACCGGUUCUGAUGGUACUACAGACCCACUGGUUCUGAUGAUACUACAGACCNNNNNNNNNNUUUUCUUAAAUGUUUUUAACAAGACGUUGCAUAAGUGUCAGCAACAUAAUAAUAUAUGAUCAAUGAAACCAAAUCAUCAUCAUCCAUCCUGCAGUGGAUCAGAACCAGUUUAGUUGAAAGGCAGAUCUGGCCUAUAUGACCUGG